CCUACGGGUGGCAGCAGUCGAGAAUCAUUCACAAUGGGGGAAACCCUGAUGGUGCGACGCCGCGUGGGGGAAUGAAGGUCUUCGGAUUGUAAACCCCUGUCAUGUGGGAGCAAAUUAAAAAGAUAGUACCACAAGAGGAAGAGACGGCUAACUCUGUGCCAGCAGCCGCGGUAAUACAGAGGUCUCAAGCGUUGUUCGGAAUCACGGGGCGUAAAGCGUGCGUAGGCUGUUUCGUAAGUCGUGUGUGAAAGGCGCGGGCUCAACCCGCGGACGGCAGAUGAUACUGGGAGACUAGAGUAAGGGAGGGGGAACUGGAAUUCUCGGGGUAGGAGUGAAAUGCGUAGAUAUCGAGAGGAACACUCGUGGCGAAGGCGGGUUCCUGGACAUUAACUGACGCUGAGGCACGAAGGCCAGGGGAGCGAAAGGGAUUAGAUACCCGUGUAGUC
rnacentral:rRNA from 1 species